UGUAGGUGCUGGGCUGCUUGUGUGGGAUGGGAAGGGAGAGGGGGAGCUGGAGCCUGGGUGUGCAGACCUGGCCUUCUGUUCAGCGAGUCCAGCUGCAUAAGGCUGCCAGGCCUGUGCUUUGCACACAGGAGGGAGCUGGUCCUCUCGGCUGCUUCUUACCAGAGACCUGGUGCAGCCAGAACCAAACCUUCAUAGCACCGUGCUGGAACAGUGCCCAUUUGGAGGCAGCUUGUCAGUUUUCAUCACGAAGAUGUUAAUAUGUAGAAGGAAGCUUCAGGAGUGAUCAAAAUGGCUGAUGAAGGUUGGAAGAGCAGCUCAAG